rnacentral:lncRNA from 1 species
CUCUGCAUAGCAGCUCCGGCGGCCACUGCAUCGUAGCUUCGGUGGCAUCGAUGACCGCUGCAUAGCAGCUCCGGCUGCAUCGAUGGAGCACCGCCGGCUGCGCCGGAGCUGGCGCUGCAGAGCGUGGCAGCGGUGCUACGAUGAAGCUCGACGGUGGCAGCUAAAAGUUUUGCGGGGUGCUAUCUUUUUCAUUCCUCGACGUGGUGUUCCUUUUCUUCCUUUUGGUGAUGCGGAGUGCAUGCAGGAGUAGUUGACUGAGGCCCUGUUUGGUUCAUAAGUCCUAGGACUUUUUUAGUCCCAACUUAUAAGUCUCAACUCCCUAAAAAGUCUCUACCUAUUUGGUUCCUGGGACUUAUAAGUCUCUAUAAGACCAUAUUACAACAAUAAGUCUCUAUAAGUCCCUUCUUGAAAGUCUUAUUUCAUAAGUUCCAAAUGCCCACUUUAAGUUCCUAUAAGUCCUUCCUGUUAUAUUUAGAUGAGACCUAUAGGGACUUAUUUAAGUCCCUAGACCAAUAAGUCCCUAGAAACAAACACCCUCUAAGACGAAGGGACUUGUGUGAUCCAAUGGUCAUACAAAGCCUGAUCCAAUGGUCCACGAGGCGGUUGAUUUUUUGCCCCGCGUCAGUCGGAUGACGCUUAGCAGUGGCCAAUUUUAUAUUUACUUUGUACUAAAGUUAAU